CUAUCUUUUCCGUCCGGGAUAACUAGCCGAAAGGUUAGCUAAUACCAGAUACGCUCAUCGUGCGGCAUCGCACAAUGAUGAAAGCAGCAAUGCGCGGAUUGAGGAGGCUGCGGCCCAUUAGCUAGUUGGUGAGGUAACGGCCCACCAAGGCGACGAUGGGUAGCUGGUCUGAGAGGACGACCAGCCACAUUGGGACUGAGACACGGCCCAA
rnacentral:rRNA from 1 species